rnacentral:tRNA from 1 species
AGCGAGCAAACAUUGUUAUGUUACAAUCGUGGUUGGGUCAAACAAUAUGUGGAAAGCAAAAGUAGCGAAGCUAAAGAGAUUAAAAUUGGAUUUAGUGCGUAUAUUUGAAAAAAAAUUACCACCAAAUAUGGUAUCCCCCCCCCCCGUUCACAACACUUGUGACGUCAUUUACAUACGGGACUUCGGGGGCGGGUUUUGGCGGGAAAAUCUGUAAUGUUUGGAGAAGACAAGAUGGCGCCGGUUACCUCGUGUCAUAUCAAAGGGCAUUUUUGUUCACAAAUACCCGCUUAUUUUACGUUAUAGCGACUGGUUAGUUUUGGAAAUUAUAACUCAAUGGACGGGGAAAACGAUUCUGUAUUAAAGAGAAAAAGAUGUGCAGUUAUUGUGAUGUUAUUUGUUGUGAAAGACGGCCCGAAAUUUCGCUACAUGGCAGUACUGGUUUAUAAAACAUUUACAAGCAACAGCAAUUGAACUAUAUGACAAAGAAACCAAUAUAUACAAGCUAAUCAAUUUCUUCUGUUUAAAGGUCAGUUUAAUUUUUAAUAAUUAGUUCAUUUAGUUGUAUAUUAAUACGAAGUACUGGAACAGUACGUAGUUUGAUGCCGAGUUUGAUUUGCUAUUUGUACUGUAUACGUAGUCGGAAUAUUUAAGAUAAGGUAUGGAUAAACAGACCCCAACCCCUUUUCUAACACUAACCAAUAAAUGUGUAAUGAACUAUUUGAGAAUUAAAAAGGUCAGGGGGGGAAAUUUAAAAAUAUUGUAAAAACGAUUGUAGAAACAUUGUUAAAAAUAUUGUAGAAACAUUUCUACAGGGCUGUUUUAUAUGGAAAAGCAGGGUUGGCCCUCUUCGCAGGAUGAAUUUUGCUUGCGUUUAAUAUAUAAGGAAAUUUUAUCCUGCUUGCUGGGCUAGAAAUUGUUUACAAUGCACUCAAUUGGCUUUCCCGGGACAACUUUCAAAAUUAUUUUUUGCUUCAAAACUCACUAUUUUGUAAACAUUGAAGGGUCUCUGUAAGGAACGAAAUUAACCCAAACCGGAAACAAUCGAAACCGGAAAUUCCCACCUAAUUUCCUGCAUAAACAAAUAUAAAUUAUAUUGUUGAUGCUAGAUCACUGGCAUGUCAUUUAGAUAAAUAUCCUCCGAAUGUCAUAAGUCACAAGGUUGUAUACUAUUUAACUGCUAACAAUUUUGUAAAUUAUUCAAUAAUCUUAUUGCAUCUUCCUGAACAAUGCUGGUUUUGUUUGACAAAAACGAUAUUGCAUUCACUUUCUCAUUUAUUUGACAUCCGAUAUGGCUUCCACUAAAAUGGCACGCUUUGUGAUUUAAAAAAAAAUAAAUACAUGCUCAUUUACAUGUUUCCAAAUCCCAAUUUAUCUGACUGCAUUUUGAUGGAUUCAAAUAUUCAGAACUUUGUUCUUUCAAUCACAAGUAGUACAAGUAAAAUGGUAGUAUUUUAUUCGGCUUUAUAUGUGUAUUUUGUAUGUGUAUUUUUUAUAUUUGCAGGGCUCAAUAUAACAGCCGAUAGGUCUCCGGUCAGUCUCCGGUCAAAAUGGCCGGUCAUCUUGAUUUUAGCUCGGUCAAAAUCUGUUUUCGACCGGUCACUAAUACUUGUGCACUAACAGUGAAAAAAGUUAUAAGAAAUUUGUCUUGAGACAACUUUUAUUGCUUUGUCAUGUUUUAAACGCUUAGUUAAGACGUUAGCAGUCCCUAUAUAUAAAGGUGAACAGGUAACGUUAUUGUUGUUACCAGAGUUGUUUGCCGAUCUGAUUGUCGAGGUUUCAGUUUUGCCGCUGAAAAUCCUGGGGGCUUUUGUGUCGUGCGACUACUUUCGCAGCUACCUUCUUUACAUUUUCCAACAAGAAAAUUUUCUUCGCUGUAACCUAGUGUUUUAGCAAGCCACAGAGCAUAUGCAAAUUGAGUCUUGCAAAAAAUGCAGACGUAUUUGAUGGUUUUCCCUCCACACUUCGUACAAUCCUUGAUCGCCCAAAUCCAGACGAUAAGAGAGGCAUUAGUCAAGUGGUGCUACCCAAAAAAAACCCCAGCUGAUUCGUUAGGCGACGAAGAGUCUGGAAUUUUUACUUGAAGCCAAUCACUUUUGAGAAAAAUCUGAGUAUUAAAACAACAUAAUUAGAACAAAGUCGAAACCUUUCAAGUUCAGCAUAUACUAUGUUUUUGUUGUACAUAACUUGACAUACUUACGGUUAAGUUGCGUACUUGCGAUGAAAUAUACAGUUUUUCUCUGACAAUAUUUCAGCAGACAUCAUAUGGUGAGGAGAAAAAACGAUUUAAAAUUCUAGGGAAAGGUAUGAAAAUGUGGCCGGUCAAAAUGACCUGUGAGGUAAAUAAGUGAACGGUCAAGAGGCAAUUUUGGCCGGUCAUUGUCUGUUGACCGGCUGUUAUAUUGAGCCCUGAUUUGUAUGUGUAUUGAUUAGCUCGUAAUGUAUUAUUUGGAGCCUAUAUUAAUUAAUUAAUAUAUUGUGUGGCUUGCUAAUGUUUCGUAUUAAUGUUAUAUACAUUUCUUUAUCCUGAUGAUGACUGAAAUAUAGUCGAAAUGUUGGUAAAAUAUAAAAAUGUUAUUGAUCUUCGGAGUUACACUUGUUUUAUACAUUUCUUUGUUGUACAUUUCACACCCUGCGUCAAUUUGACAGUCUUUGUUUAUUAUCCCGGUGAGCCUGCUCGCAGGCUAAAUUUUAGGCAAUUUUAUGCGGGGAAAUUAGGUGGGAAUUUCUGGUUUCGGUCGUUUCCGGAUUCGGUUGUUUCGGUUUCCGUUCUUUACAGAGACCCGCUAUUGAAGCACAUACUGCGAUUUGCAGUUGAGUUUAGAAACAGGAAGUUUUACCGCACAGUUUGAUCGUAAUGUUGUCAAGUGGAAAUGUGAAUGUUUUCAUGGGAAAUUUAGGCACUUUUGGCCAAUCACAUAAUUUCUGCGCCUUCUUUGCUAUGAUUGCCCAGAAGUGCCUAAAUUUCCAAUGAAAACAUUCACAGUUCCGCUUGACAACAUUUGAGUUUGCCCUUGAUAAGUUGUGUGUUUCAACGAUCAAACUGCACGGUAAAACUUCCUGUCUCUAAGCUCAACUGUGCAAGUCACAGUAUUUGCAACCUUUUGUUUUGUCUCUUACGUAUGUAAUGUCAAGAACUAUAAAAAUAAUUGCAGAAAAGACUUCACACUAUUGAAAAUAUUUCAUCCUGGCAACCGGGCCAUAUUUUCACCUCGGUUGUCCAUAUAAACGCACGGGAAUUUUUAAAUCCUACUACACAGCGAGAUCUCGCUUAUCGGGGCUGUCUUGCCAAGUGGGCCAGCCCAGUCCAAUAUAAAAAGCCCCUAUGGCCCUAUGUCAAACAAAAAAUAUCUAAAACAAAACCUGACCCCCAACCUCGUUUCAUUUUGCAUCCACGCUAUGCCUUUGGCAAAUAUGCUGAAUUGCUGAUUUGCUGUUGCAAAAAACUGUUUUAUAUUACUACUUUACAAAAUGUAAUAUUUGGAUGCCAUACUUCAGUACGAUUAUUAGUUCGAUAUUAAUAAUUAUUUAUAAGCACUAUUAUACAAGAAAUGUCAACAAUGAAUUUUCCUUCAAUGGUUGCUUUUUAUUGGUCAAAAGUUUAAUAUUGUUUUGACAAGAGAAAUGUUUCUCAACAAUUUUCAGAAAGUUUUCGAAUACUUCUAGAAGGGGUCUGUUUUUAAUUGGGAUAUUCCAUUUAAAAGACGUAACCCCCCUAUCGAGGACAAUGGUUUUACCAUAUCUCUGAAGAAUUCCUGACAUAAAAGAGAUCCCCUGAAGAAUUCCUGUUAAUUAAUUUAAAUAGCAUUUACCCCUGAAGAAGUCGGCAUUUACCCCUGAAGAAGUACAAUUUUUACACCUGACCCCUAAGGAAAUUGCAUUCGAAAUAACGAACCCCUGAAGAAUUCCACCAUAGAUGGAUUUUUAUUUUUUUACUGGGGUGGUGCCAGAAAUUUUAGGGGGGUGAGCCGUGAGCAGGUGACUGAAGCAACACAAAGUGUCACCAAACCCCAGUAAGGUCUAUAUUCUAGGGGUGGAGCACUAUAGAGCUGCGAGGGGGAGUCUAGAGAGCAGAAAACAAAAGUAUCCCAGGAAAAAAUCAUGAUUUCUAGCUUUGAAAAAGUUUUUUGAAGUUGUCAUAUCAAUGGUUUUUAAAGAUUAAAUCUAGGCAAGUCUAUUUCCUAAAAGAAUUAAAGACUAAAAUAAUGUUCUUAAAAAUUCCAAACGUUCCUUGCAAAUAAGCUAUUUGCAUGGCAAGGCACUGCAGGGGAGAUAAUAGAGUUUCAAGACUUUACAAUUGCUCCAAUAAACCAGUGAAUGCAAGCGAGGAGCGAUUAGUUUCAGAGUAUUGCACCAUCUUUUUCUAUUUGAGUGUACUCCUACAUUUAUUUUGUAUCAUCAACACUCUGCACGUUGGAGUGGACUAUUUAAUUAUUUUUUAUUAUGCCGAAUAUUGGGGGGGGGGUUGAAAUUUUUUUUGGAGGGGUGGACAUUUUGUUUGGGGGGUUAUAGCUAAUAUUGGAGGGGUAGCGAAAAUCCGUCUAUGAAUUUCACAGGAGAAUUUGUUUACCCAUGAGGAAUUUGGGAGUUAAAAAGGGAGGUUCUGGAUAUUAAAUGGAAUAGCCCAAUUUUCUGGAAAAUUUCCUGGUUGUUUUCCCUGCAGCUUGUUUAUAAACAUGAUGAUAAUUUUCCAGAAUUCUUGUCUGGUUCAAUAGAAAUUUUAUUUUCCAAAGUUUUAAAAUAAACAGAAGUGUAGAUGUACCCAAAACAGCUGGUUAAUUUUUACCCACUGGUAGCACUAAUCAGCUAAAGCUUUGAACCACUGGCCCCAGGGGCCAGUUGUUCAAAGCUGGGUUAGCUUAACCCUAUUUUAACAACUAAAAUUCAAAGCAAACUUCCUUUAUCAGUCGAAAGUGAUUAUUUAGAACUGAAUUUAUAAAAGUGGUGGGAAUUGAACCCGCGACUUUUGGGAUACUAGUCCAAUGGUCUGCCAAGUGAGCUAUGUGGUCAAGUCGGUUCGAGUUGAUGAUAUUUCGUAACCGAGUCUAGUUCCUUCGAUCAUAGAAUACACUGAUAUUGAAAGAACUAGACUUCCAAAAUAUCAUCAACCGACUUGACCAUGUAGCUCAGUUGUCAGAGCAUUGGACUAGUAUCCCAAAGCUUGUGGGUUCGAUUCCCACCAUGGCCAAGCUAUCUUUUCAGCUGGUGUGGAUACACAUUCAGAGUAACAUUGCAAACAUCACAAUUUUCAGAAAGUUUUGACGAUUAUUUUGGGGCAGUGCACAGUGGUCCCCCAGCCUAGGGUUGUCUUUACCAAUGCCAAUAUAAAUCUUAUUGGCAUAGAGAAUUAUACAUUUGGCAUAAUAAUUUUGUAUGCUGCAUUCAUUCUAUUGACCAAUCAGGGAGAUUCUUUUGUAAAUACCCACACCAAUCGGAAGUCUGUAUUUUUAUGCUAAAACAGAAAUUGGCAUCCCAGAUACUAAAUUAUAUUCAAAUUUAUAUUCAAGUUUAGGGUAUGUUGCAGCUCUAUAUCUUGCUGUUGCAAGUUGCUUUGCAUUUGAUGUUUGUUCUGGGAUAAAAUAUUGAAUUAUACCUUAAAUUAAUAAUGUUUCGUGAAGUUUAGUUCAAAUUAAUAGAGAGAUGAGUGCAUAAAGUAUUUAGGGUAUUUUGAAGCUAAAUUUGUUUUAAAAUUUGUCAUUUUAGUGAAAUGAUGUGGAACACAAUGCGUUCUUUUCUACUCGUCCUGGUUGUUGUAAAGAGACAUCGGGCAUUGUAAUGAAUAGAUGAAAAUGUGUCGCUGGCAAACCUACACCAUGUGUAUUUCUUGGUGGAUAUCUUGGGCAAAUGUGCAAUAUGAUGGAUAUCUUGGGCAAAUAUCUUGUAUAAAUUGGUACAAUUACUUACCUUAAAUUACUAAAGAAGGAUGAUGUUUUGAG